AGUGAACGCUGGCGGUAGGCCCAACACAUGCAAGUCAAACGGCAGCACAGUAAGAGCUUGCUCUUACGGGUGGCGAGUGGCCGACGGGUGCGGAAUACAUCGGAAUUUACUUUUUCGUGGGGGAUAACGUAGGGAAACUUACGCUAAUACCGCAUACGACAUACGGGUGAAAGCAGGGGAUCUUCGGACCUUGCGCGAUUGAAUGACCCGAUGUCGGAUUAGCCAGUUGGCGGGGUAAAGGCCCACCCAGGCGACGAUCCGUAGCUGGUCUGCCAGGAUGAUCAGCCACACUGGAACUGAGACACGGUCCAGACUCCUACGGGAGGCAGCAGUGGGGAAUAUUGGACAAUGGGCGCAAGCCUGAUCCAGACAUACCGCGUGGGUGAAGAAGGCUUUCGGGUUGGAAAGCCCUUUUGUUGGGAAAGAAAAGCAGCAGGUGAAUACCCCUCUGUUCUGACGGUACCCAAAUAAUAAACCCCGGCUGACUUCGUG
rnacentral:rRNA from 1 species